GUUGUCGUGGCCGAGUGGUUCAGCCGAUGGACUAGAAAUCUCUUGAGAUCUUCCCGCGUAGGUUCGAAACCUGCCGACGUCA
rnacentral:tRNA from 1 species